UACAGGGGGAGCAGGCGUUGUUCGGAAUUACUGGGCGUAAAGGGCGCGUAGGCGGUCAUGUAAGUCUUGUGUGAAAUCCCUCGGCUCAACUGGGGAACCGCACAGGAAACUGCUUGGCUUGAGUUCGGGAGAGGGAAGCGGAAUUCCGGGUGUAGCGGUGAAAUGCGCAGAUAUCCGGAGGAACACCGGUGGCGAAGGCGGCUUCCUGGACCGAAACUGACGCUGAGGCGCGAAAGCUAGGGGAGCAAACGGG
rnacentral:misc_RNA from 1 species